CACGUAGGGUGCGAGCGUUGUCCGGAAUUAUUGGGCGUAAAGAGCUCGUAGGCGGUGUGUCGCGUCGGCCGUGAAAACCUGCAGCUUAACUGUGGGCUUGCGGUCGAUACGGGCAUCACUGGAGUUCGGCAGGGGAGACUGGAAUUCCUGGUGUAGCGGUGAAAUGCGCAGAUAUCAGGGAGGAACACCGGUGGGCGAAGGCGGUUCUCUGGGCCUGUACUGACGCUGGAGGAGCG
rnacentral:rRNA from 1 species